GGUGCAGACGUCCUCCCUCUGCCCUUCCUUGUCUCCACCUCCCGGAAUCUCUGAUCCAUGUGUUGAUCUGCAGGACUUGAUCUUCCCUGUGCUGCUCACACCCAGCACCCAGGGAGGACCUGACCCACAGCACACAGUCAGAAAUCUCUGUUUCCCCAAUGGGAUGCUGUGCUGUGAUGUGAUGAGCUGCUUCUCUGUCCCCAUCCUCUGACUUGAGGGUCAAACCUUCUCAAGGUCAAGAAGAGUCUCAGAUUUCCAAGAGUCUAUUCAGAAGUCUCCCGCAGCUUCACCAGGGGAUCUGGAGCAACUUCCUCUGGACCAUCACAUUCCACAUAACAGAUGGGUCACCACGCACAGUAACUGCCCAUAGAGGCAAUAAAAAAAUACUUA
ensembl:lncRNA